UUUCCGUAGGUGAACCUGCGGAGGGAUCAUUACAGAGUUCAUGCCCUACCGGGUAGAUCUCCCACCCUAUGUUAUUAUUACUUUGUUGCUUUGGCGGGCCGUUAGGCUCCGGCCCGACUACCGGCCCCGGCUGGUAAGCGCCCACCAGAGGACCCAAAACCCUGAAUAUUAGUGUCGUCUGAGUACUAUAUAAUAGUUAAAACUUUCAACAACGGAUCUCUUGGUUCUG
rnacentral:misc_RNA from 1 species